UGGAGCGUUGUUUCCUAGUGACUUGGAAAAAUGCAUGGCAUCCUUGAGUGUCUCAGUUGGAGAAGGUCUCUUCAGAUAUGGCCCAAACCAGCAAACUCCUGGAGUCAAGCAAUCCUGCCUCAGCCUCCCAAAGUGCUGGGAUUAUAGGCAUGAGCCACUGCGUUCAGCCUCUCCUACUUUUUAGAAAGAGCUUUACCUUAUAAAUAUUAUCCCUAGUUUUUCUUGCCUCUAAACUUUUAUCAAGGGAAUCAUACUGUAAGUAUUCUUUUAUAACUUGCUUUUUGCAUCUGUGAUCUAUGUUGAUGGGUACAGCUGUAGUUUAUUCAUUUUCAUAGCUACAUAGUUUCCACUAUGGGACUGUGUUAGAAUUUAUUCCUCCUACAGCAACUGGACAUUUGAGUUGUUUCCAAUUUGGGACUAUUUUAAACCAUGCUUGUUUAUUUCUCCUAC
rnacentral:lncRNA from 1 species